GGAAAAGGAACAGAAGUCAUAUGGAGCACAAUGCCUAUUGGAAGUCUCUUGAGUUUUGGAAGUUUGGGAAUCUCAUUUACUGAAACUUCCUGAUUAUGUAUCAUCUUCAUUUAUUGAAGCGUCAGACAUUUGAUUUACAUACUUCGGAAUGUGAAAGUAGAUCAGCUACAUGAACCUGCAAUUGGAGCACAAUCAGAAACCAAAGGCUACCGUCAAAUAAAGGAGAAGAGGGAGGUGCGACAGCUACAAUUGAACUUAAUGAACAUAAC